rnacentral:misc_RNA from 1 species
GAUGAAGAACGCAGCGAAAUGCGAUAAGUAGUGUGAAUUGCAGAAUUCAGUGAAUCAUCGAAUCUUUGAACGCACAUUGCGCCUUUUGGUAAUCCUUAGGGCAUGCCUGUUCGAGCGUCAUUUAAACCUUCAAGCUCAGCUUGGUGAUGGGUGACUGUCCUCCCCUCGCGGGGGGACUCGCCUCAAAAACAUUGGCGGCCGGUACAUUGGCUUCGAGCGCAGCAGAAACGCGGUCUCGAGUCCGGUGGAUCGGCUCCCAUAAGUCUAUUCUUUUAUUUUGACCUCGGAUCAGGUAGGGAUACCCGCUGAACUUAAGCAUAUCAAUAAGCGGAGGA